UCUGGGUCGAGACAGAUCAUAGAAAAUAUCACUCAAAACAAGAGCUAACAAUAUGUUGAUCCUUAGACUGCUGGGAGCAAUCUUCAGCUCCAUUUUUUUUGCAGCCAGCAUGGCCCAGAAAGUAACUCAGGCUCAGACUUCAAUUUCCGUGAUGGAGAAAAGGACUGUGACAUUGGACUGUGUGUAUGAAACCCGGGAAAGUACUUACUACUUGUUCUGGUACAAGCAAAUGGCAAGUGGGAAAAUGGUUUUCCUUAUUCGUCAGGAGUCUUACAAAAAGGAAAAUGCAACAGAGGGUCGUUAUUCUCUGAACUUCCAGAAUACAGAGAGUUCCAUUAGACUCAUCAUCACAGCUGCAGAGAUGGAGGACUCAGCAGUGUAUUUCUGUGCUAUGAGAGAAGGCACAGUGGCAGAGUGUCAACAAGAGCACCACAAAAACCUCAACCAGACAAAAGCUCUGAGGACAGGGAGAGAUGGAACCUGUGGUAGCACAGGCAAGAAGCCUAAGUUCAAUUCAUGUAGAAUGUCUACCUUCACCAGUCAUGAGAAGUGUGCAUGUUCAGGGCCUGAAUGGGUCUGCACCAGGUCCUCCGUGUAUAUUAUGGCUUCCAGUUUACUGUUUUUAUGUGACUCCUGA